rnacentral:tRNA from 1 species
UCCUUUGUGGCUCAGACAGUAAAGAAUCUGCCUGGAAUGCAGGAGACCCAGGUUCAAUCCCUGGGUCAGGAA